GUGGACGUGGACGUGCGUGAUCUAGGUUCAGUAAACUGGAGCGAAAACAAAAACAAAACAAACCCCAGGGCCAGCCAGUCCUUCAAAGCGUACUUCUACUGCCUACUGCCUGCAGCCAGACUCUCCUUUAGGCACCAGGGCCUUCCCAAACGGUGCCGUAGGCUGAGAACAAGCUGUCAAACCAUGAGUAUGACUUAGAUUGGAACAUUCACAAUGAGAGCCUGUAAAGUGGACUGAGGGCAGGCGUGGGCUAGAGUGGGCUGCUUCGGAAGCUGGUCCUUCUCCGCCUGAGUAACGGGCCGAGUGGCCAGAGAAAGAACAGGGCUUGUGUCCUGCUUCCCAUUUAGAAAGUUGCCCAGAUUUAACCUGGCUGGAGGUACUUCAAGCAUAGAGAGCAUUAAUUCUUCAUAUGGUCGUCCGUAUGUGUUCCUUUCCCGGACUACACUGUCUGCAGUGCGUCAUGAAUUAAUAUUGUCUAUGAACCUUGUAAUUUUCUGUGACCAGGGUGAUUACAGGGCUCUGAGUUAAGCAUAUUUAUUUGUUUGGUGGCCAGAUUCCAGACAUGCUUCUGCUAACCUUUCUGGCCAUUUCAUCUUUUUUUUUAAUUGGCUGAGAGUCUCAGAAAAUGAAAAUGACCCCCCAUUCUCUGUCAAGCUCCAGUGGCCUUAGGUGAAUUCUGCCAGAAAAGGGUGUCCAUGACUUGCAGAGGGAACUCUGGGGGUGAGGACUGUGGACACACUGCCGCUGAGCUAGUGGAAGGGGUGGGACUCGGUCGGACUAAGUGCGUCUAAAUUGCCUGCCUUCAGCUCAGCUGUGGUGUGUGCUCCUCCCUCCUGUCUUGGCGAGGGCAGUCACUGCAGCCCACUCUACACUGCACAGCCCAUGAUUAAACCACCGAAGGAGCUUGUGCCCCCCCCCCCAGCUCUUUGCUUCUGCAGCUGCAGUGCCUGUGUGCUUGGGGGUGGCUUGCUUGAAGACAUAUCUUACUCAGUCAAGGUCACAGUGACCCAACAAGGAGUGUGUGUUAAGGGGAACUGGCAUGGCUACUGUGGAAUGUGACUGGGAGUGUUAUCUGCUGAAACGACAAGUUAGGUUAAGAACUAACAGCUUAGCUUGGUUCUUAGCUUAGUUUAUAGGUGUAGGGACACACAUCUAGAACCCCAGGAUUUAAGGGGUUAAGGCAGAGGGAUGGGAAUUCUAGGCCAGCCCAGGGCUCCAUAGCAAGGCCCUGUCUCAAAACACAACACAAAAGAAAACAAACAGCCAAUAACUUCACUGUGCAACAGUUGUGCUUUCAUGAGGCAACACAAUAAGGGUUUGAGGAGAGGGGGGGAGUCAUGGGUGACCUUGAAGGUUAAGUUCUACAGCAAAGAAAAUACAAUUGCAUUAUGGUAUCAUUUUACCCUCUGUGUGGGUUUGCAUGAGAAUGCCCCGCCCCCCAUAGGCUCAUGUUUGAAUGCUGGUCCACAGCUGGUGGAACUGUUUAGGAAGGAUUAGGAGGCGUGGCCUUAAUGAAGGAGGUGUACCAUUAGGAAUGGGCUUUGAAGUUUCAAAAGCCCAGGCCCAGUUACAAUGUUCUCUCUCUCUCUCUCUCUCUCUCUCUCUCUCUCUCCCCCUCCCCCCUUCUCACUGCUGCCAUGCUCCGAGCCAUGAUGGUUAUGGGCUCACCCUCUGGAACUGUGAUCCCAUCCCAACAAACUCUUCUGUUUGCUGUGUAGCCCCAGCUACAGCUCAGGCUGUCAGGCUUGGUGGCAUGUGCCCUAAUGUACUGAGCCAUAUCAUCUCUCCUACUGACAGUUUAAAAACUACCCUGUGAUCAUCUUAAAUACCCAGAAAACAAUGUUGGCAAAAUUCAACCCCUAAGAACUCAGAGCAAAGCAGGAUCGGAAGAGAAUGACAGUGGACCACCUGUCCAGAUGUCAUCCUUCCAGUGUCUUCCCUCAAGGCUGAAGAGGAGAGCACUGUGGGUGGAAUCCUCACAGUAAGCCCCCUGGCACAUCAGGCCUGUGAGGAGGCCUGAGAGCAGCCUGAGAGACACAGAGGAAGGUUCCAGCUCCCUCUGUGGGCACAUCAAGAAUGUGGGAUCCCUACUUGGAACACUAGAAGCCGACCUUGGCGUCUCAUGGAUCUACCUAACUACUGCCCAAUUCCUUUGACUUCCAGCCAGCAUGCUUCCGGGUUUCAGAAAACCUGGGGCCCAGAGCAAGGGAAGACUUGAGCAUCACAUCAGAAGGCCGGCUUACCAGGUGCUGACUUAGCACAGCCUAGACGGAGAGAGGCGCCUUCCACUGGAUGGCGGUCCCCAGAGACCUGUCCCCGAUCUGCUGUUACUGGAAUCUGCAACUCCCGUGAAAGGUUGCCCGGGGCAUGACUCACCUGGUGCACAUCCAAACCAAGGCUUCUGCAUCGCAGGGCCACCCGGGGCACCUCCCUCCUGCUGCAGCCACAGUGCAAGAGGGGCCCUACCGCCACCUUGCCUGGCCAGCUGGCGUGGCACACUGCAGGUCAGCAGAAUUUCCUAGGCUCCAGGGGUUAAGAAAGAGUUAAGUCCAAGGAGCGAGGUAGUAAGUCCCCUGUAAUUCCCCGACCACCACCACAUUCCUAGAGAGGUGAGGGUCAGCGUGCCCCACAGGAUCUCACCUGGGCUGACUUUCUGAGCCGAGACCUUGGAAACAAAUGCAUGUAAACAAACAAACAGAUAGCUAGACGGCUCCCUGGAGUCUCCUUGCAUUUCUCGUUGAUCAAUUUGGCUUUCACGCGCCUGGGAGUUUGUAGAGGCCUGGAGCGGAUGAUGGAUGGAUGCCUCAGGGCCAUCUCUCUCCUCUUUCUGCGCACUGUCUUCUGUCUUACAGCCACUUGGCCUAGGGUGGUAAUUCAUCCGCUCUGCCAGGUUCUAUCUCACUCAUUUGGUGCUGGAGUCCCGGUGGUCAGGUCAUGAUGUGGCCAUUACAGCCUCGAUGACUGAUGAAUUUGAAAGGCUGUGGGGACCAGAUGUCAUCCGCUGAGUGUGCAAUGGGUGAAGGGCUCAUGCUUCCUGUCACUGUGAGCUGUGCUGUUUAGACUGAAGUCUGAAUGAAUCCCGUUUCUACCCAUCACUGCCCAUGUGGCCUCACACAUGGCCCACUACUUUCCAGGAACACUGUCCUGUUUCAAUGGGGUGACCUAGGCAGAUCUCUAGCAUGUGUUCUGGCUUAGGACGGACAUGCAUUUAGUUUGUGCAACCUCAGCCUCCCUAGCCACAAGACACUCUCAAGUCGGCAUUUCCCGGAAGCUUUUCUCCUCUAUUCAGCAUCUUAACCGCAAGUUUGCACAGAUAGGAAGAACUUCAUCGCUGCCCACAGACCUCUCGGUGCACCCUCAUCCCUCCGGCCAAAGCCCUUGCCAGGCAGCCGUCUGCCAGGAAUCUGAGAAAGUGUCACAUUCCUCACUGGCCAGCCAGUCUAGCUGAAUCACUGAGCUCCAGACCUUCUCUCAGGAAGGUCGCCAUCAUUGACGUGAAGGCAGGAACUCAAGCAAAAACUUCAAACAGAAACAAUGGAGGAUGCUGCUAGGAGGCUUGCUCAGGCUUGGGCUUAGCCAGCUUUCUCCUACAGCCCAGGACCACCUGACCAGGGAAUGCUGGCUUCUAUGUCCCUGUCACAGACCUUCACUGAGGGAAAGGGCUCAAGGAGGAGGCUGGGGGUGGAGGCACUCCCCUUGGGAGGAAGCAGAGGCAGGCAGGUCUCUACAGUUGCAUGAGGAGCCUUUUCACAGCCACCUAGGAUGAACUAUGAAAAGAAGACUUAUCUGUACCAUGGCAGUCCCUCUCACUCCGCCCAGGUCUCUGAGAACAUGACAAAAUGUCUGACUUGCUCUCGCCACUGCCAUCUUUAACUCGCCGGCGUCACCUAGCUAAUGUGUCUGUCUGUGCGUGGAUCUGCUCAGUUGUGCCAGCUGUGCUAUUAACACAUUUAACUCAGCGAGUAAUUAGCAGCCGCAGCUAGGCCCUAAGCAAGUGCUUAGAAUGGGGGGCUGGUCGGAAACACGGCUCCCACCCUCCACUUCCCAGAAGGUGCAGCGUAGGAAAGAGGAAUUUUCCUAUUAUUGCGUAACUGUCUGUUUUGAUUCUCUACCCUUGCUUUCUUUAGUUUCCCCCUACCAACAUCAGCUGUCUGUAAAGGCAUUUGUUCAGCUGGCCUCAGGAAGCGUGUGCCCACAGUCAGUGUUUCCAUGGGCACGGAGGGGAAGGCUGGGCAGGGAGAGUGACAGGGAGAGCCACACACUUGCCUCUGCUGACUUCCUGAAAUUUAAAACGAGUGCUGACGGGACGGGACAGACGGCCUUGACUCGCCAAUCCAUCUCCGAUGACAGAGCACGGGUGGGAGCCUGAAAGCGGGACCCCAUGGCUGCCUGGAGAUGCUUGCAGGGCUGGGACCACGCUGAGGGUGGAGAUGGGGGUGGUGAUGGAGAGACUGCAGCUGUGGUGAUGGCGAUGGGAUAGUUGACGGUGGUGGUAUUAGGGGCAGUGUUACUGUGAUGGUGAUGAGGUGUGUGUGGCCAUGCACAGCAUGCGUUGUGAUGGAUAAUUCUCCCAUCAAAAUGCUUUUUAAAACAAUGUUUGAAUACUUCUGUCCGCAUCUAAACCCCAAACUCUAUCUUUCCUUUCUUUCUUUCCUCCUACCCAC